rnacentral:misc_RNA from 1 species
UUUCCGUAGGUGAACCUGCGGAAGGAUCAUUAUUGUAUAACCGAGCUGCGAGGCCUUGCGCUGACACGAAAGGUCGUGCACGCCCGAGUGCCUUCACACACAUCCCUCUCACACCUAUGUGCAACACCACGAGGGACCCUCUUUGGCUUGUUCGGAGGGGGGCUCAUGAUUCCACACAACCUUUGUAUGCAGCGUAGAUUGUAUUUUUAGUUUUUGCGAAGACGACAUCUAUACACCUUUCAAAAACGGAUCUAUUGGCUCUCACAUCGAUGACGAACC